rnacentral:rRNA from 1 species
AGUGAACGCUGGCGGUAGGCCUAACACAUGCAAGUCGAACGGCAGCACAGUAAGAGCUUGCUCUUACGGGUGGCGAGUGGCGGACGGGUGAGGAAUACAUCGGAAUCUACUUUUUCGUGGGGGAUAACGUAGGGAAACUUACGCUAAUACCGCAUACGACCUACGGGUGAAAGCAGGGGAUAUUCGGAGCUUGCGCGAAUGGAUGAGCCGAUGUCGGAUUAGCUAGUUGGCGGGGUAAUGGCCCACCAAGGCGAGGAUCCGUAGCUGGUCUGAGAGGAUGAUCAGCCACACUGGAACUGAGACACGGUCCAGACUCCUACGGGAGGCAGCAGUGGGGAAUAUUGGACAAUGGGCGCAAGCCUGAUCCAGCCAUACCGCGUGUGUGAAGAAGGCCUUCGGGUUGUAAAGCCCUUUUGUUGGGAAAGAAAAGCAGCAGGUUAAUACCCCGCUGUUCUGACGGUACCCAAAGAAUAAGCACCGGCUAACUUCGUG